rnacentral:precursor_RNA from 14 species
AGAAUAGACUUCACACUGGUGUGUAUUGUUCUCUAUUAUUCAGUGCAAAAUGGAGUGAAUUGUCUAUUCCAUUGCACUGAAUAGUGGGGCACAGUGGACACUACAGUGAAUCAUGUAUUUC